UACGAAGGGGGCUAGCGUUGCUCGGAAUCACUGGGCGUAAAGAGCGUGUAGGCGGCCAGACAGGUCCGUUGUGAAAACUCGAGGCUCAACCUCGAGACGCCGAUGGAAACCGUUUGGCUAGAGUCCGGAAGAGGAGAGUGGAAUCCCGGUGUAGCGGUGAAAUGCGCAGAUAUCGGGAAGAACACCCGUGGCUAAGGCGGCUCUCUAGUACGGUACUGACGCUGAGACGCGAAAGCGUGGGGAGCGAACAGG
rnacentral:rRNA from 1 species